rnacentral:lncRNA from 1 species
UGAACAGGGCUGAGUGCCUUCAACACAGUGAAAUUUGGUGGAAGAGGAAGGCAGCCAGAACAAAGAGGCAACGCUGUAGAGGUGAGGAUUCCUCACUGCCUAGAAGGUAAUUGACUGAGAACACAUUUUAAAUAUACCUGAUGCCUAUCAAUCAGUGAAGACGUAAAAUGAUAUAAUACAACUUAACAACUUCAGGAAGAACACCUUAAUUGCAAAGAGGUAUGUUGAACGUAUGCCGAAUUCCCUUCAUUGAGGCAUCUUUCUG